CUAGAUUGACGCUGGCGGCAGGCCUAACACAUGCAAGUCGAGCGGUAACAGGGGUAGCUUGCUACCCGCUGACGAGCGGCGGACGGGUGAGUAAUGCAUAGGAAUCUGCCCGAUAGUGGGGGAUAACCUGGGGAAACCCAGGCUAAUACCGCAUACGUCCUACGGGAGAAAGGGGGCUCCGGCUCCCGCUAUUGGAUGAGCCUAUGUCGGAUUAGCUAGUUGGUGAGGUAAUGGCUCACCAAGGCAACGAUCCGUAGCUGGUCUGAGAGGAUGAUCAGCCACAUCGGGACUGAGACACGGCCCGAACUCCUACGGGAGGCAGCAGUGGGGAAUAUUGGACAAUGGGCGAAAGCCUGAUCCAGCCAUGCCGCGUGUGUGAAGAAGGCCUUCGGGUUGUAAAGCACUUUCAGCGAGGAAGAACGCCUAGUGGUUAAUACCCAUUAGGAAAGACAUCACUCGCAGAAGAAGCACCGGCUAACUCCGUGCCAGCMGCCGCGGUAAUWCGUCGUGACUGGGAACCCCCUGGCGA
rnacentral:rRNA from 1 species